UAAGGAAUAUUGGUCAAUGGACGAAAGUCUGAACCAGCUAUGCCGCGUGGAGGAUGAAGGCCCUCUGGGUUGUAAACUUCUUUUAUAUGGGACGAAAAAGGGUCUUUCUAGAUCAACUGACGGUACCAUGUGAAUAAGCACCGGCUAACUCCGUGCCAGCAGCCGCGGUAAUACGGAGGGUGCAAGCGUUAUCCGGAUUCACUGGGUUUAAAGGGUGCGUAGGUGGGUUGGUAAGUCAGUGGUGAAAUCUCCGAGCUUAACUUGGAAACUGCCAUUGAUACUAUCAGUCUUGAAUAUUGUGGAGGUUAGCGGAAUAUGUCAUGUAGCGGUGAAAUGCUUAGAUAUGACAUAGAACACCAAUUGCGAAGGCAGCUGGCUACACAUAUAUUGACACUGAGGCACGAAAGCGUGGGGAUCAAACAG
rnacentral:rRNA from 1 species